CCUUUCAAUUUUUUCAACCCCUAUUUCUCCUAUAUAUUUUCAAGUCCCCAUACAAUUUCAACGCCAUUGGGUUAGGGCACCUUUUCAUUUUUCUAGCGAUUUCGUGAUCAGAGCGAAACCCUAACCCUAGAUAUCAACCAUGUCUUCCAAGCAAGGUGGGAAAGCAAAGCCUUUGAAGCAACCAAAGGCUGACAAGAAAGAGUACGACGAGGAUGACAAGGCUUUUAUUCAGAAGAAGAAGGAAGAGGAGAAGGCCCUGAAGGAGCUUAAAGCAAAGGCUCAGAAGGGAGCACUUGGAGGUGCUGGGCUGAAGAAAAGUGGAAAGAAAUAAAACUUAAAAAGUACUACAAGAAACAAAAAACUCCUUUGUUGUCAAUUGUAUCGCGAUAUUACCAUUUGGUUUAAACCAUUUUAGCAUGAUGUUCUUGCUUAUGCUAGACUAUUGAGCAACUUUCUACGAAGUUUCAUUGUGUAGAACUAUUUGUUUGGAGCAAUAAACGUGUGGUUUUGCAUGUC